GUGGGGAAUAUUGGGCAAUGGGCGAAAGCCUGACCCAGCAACGCCGCGUGAAGGAAGAAGGUUUUCGGAUCGUAAACUUCUAUCCUUGGUGAAGAUAAUGACGGUAGCCAAGAAGGAAGCCCCGGCUAACUACGUGCCAGCAGCCGCGGUAAUACGUAGGGGGCAAGCGUUGUCCGGAAUGAUUGGGCGUAAAGGGCGCGUAGGCGGCCUGGUAAGUCUGGAGUGAAAGUCCUGCUUUUAAGGUGGGAAUUGCUUUGGAUACUGUCGGGCUUGAGUGCAGGAGAGGUAAGUGGAAUUCCCGGUGUAGCGGUGAAAUGCGUAGAGAUCGGGAGGAACACCAGUGGCGAAGGCGACUUACUGGACUGUAACUGACGCUGAGGCGCGAAAGUGUGGGGAGCAAACAGGAUUAGAAACCCCAGUAGUCC
rnacentral:rRNA from 1 species